rnacentral:rRNA from 1 species
AACGAACGCUGGCGGCAUGCCUAACACAUGCAAGUCGAACGAGACCUUCGGGUCUAGUGGCGCACGGGUGCGUAACGCGUGGGAACCUGCCCUUAGGUUCGGAAUAACUCCCCGAAAGGGGUGCUAAUACCGGAUAAUGUCUUCGGACCAAAGAUUUAUCGCCUUUGGAUGGGCCCGCGUUGGAUUAGCUAGUUGGUAGGGUAAAAGCCUACCAAGGCGACGAUCCAUAGCUGGUCUGAGAGGAUGAUCAGCCACACUGGGACUGAGACACGGCCCAGACUCCUACGGGAGGCAGCAGUGGGGAAUAUGGGACAAUGGGCGAAAGCCUGAUCCAGCAAUGCCGCGUGAGUGAUGAAGGCCUUAGGGUUGUAAAGCUCUUUUACCCGGGAUGAUAAUGACAGUACCGGGAGAAUAAGCUCCGGCUAACUCCGG